rnacentral:rRNA from 1 species
UAUCUCUGUAGAGUCUGCAUAUCAAUAAGCGGAGGAAAAGAAACUAACUAGGAUUCCCUUAGUAACGGCGAGUGAAGCGGGAAGAGCUCAAAUUUGAAAUCUUCAAGGUUCUACCUUGACGAAUUGUAGUUUAAAGAAGUGUUUUCUGUUAGGAUGAGUAGCAAAAGUUCCUUGGAAUAGGGACAUCAUAGAGGGUGAGAAUCCCGUAUUUGGUUACAUUCAUUCUAGCGUUGUGAUACACUUUCAAAGAGUCGGAUUGUUUGGGAAUGCAGUCCAAAAUGGGUGGUAAAUUUCAUCUAAAGCUAAAUAUUGGCGAGAGACCGAUAGCGAACAAGUACCGUGAGGGAAAGAUGAAAAGAACUUUGAAAAGAGAGUUAAACAGUACGUGAAAUUGUCAAAAGGGAAGCGUUUGACACCAGUGUUGUUUUUCCGAAAAUCAAUUACGAAUGGCUUGAUUCUGUGUUGUAUUGACCUUAUCAGCUUUCUUCACUUUUUUCGAGUCUUUCUUAAUGCACUUUUCGGUUAACAAGUCAACAUCAAUUUCUUUUGUUGUAAAAGAGUAUUCGGAAGGUGGCUUUCUUUUCGGAGAAAGUGUUUAUAGCCCUAUACUUCUACAAUCGGAGAGAUUGAGGUCUGCAGCGUAGAUCCUUCGGGGUUAGAUACACUUGUGCUAAGUUGUAGCUUUUCAUAGACAACUUGUUGACUAUGUUUAGUCAUGCGGCUUACUCGCUUGUGCUAUUUUACCUACGCUUAGGAUGUUGACGAGACUGUCGAUCUC